UACAGAGGGUGCAAGCGUUAAUCGGAAUUACUGGGCGUAAAGCGUGCGUAGACGGUUAUGUAAGUCAGAUGUGAAAGCCCCGGGCUCAACCUGGGAAUUGCAUUUGAGACUGCAUAGCUAGGGGUGCGGAAGAGGGAAGCGGGAAUUUCCGGUGUAGCGGUGAAAUGCGUAGAUAUCGGAAGGAACAUCAGUGGCGAAAGCGGCUUCCUGGACCAGAACUGACGAUCAGGCUCGAAAGCGUGGGGAGCAAACAGG
rnacentral:rRNA from 1 species